CUCUCUGAGCCUCAAUUUCCAAAUCUGCAAAACAGGUGUUCUUUAUGAUCCGUUUACUCUGGGUGAUCCUUCCCACCCCCCGACAAGAACUCCAGCAAGCCGCAAGAAGAUUUUGCUUAUUUUGAGGUUGACAAUGGCCAAGGUCACCAGGGG